AGCGAACGCUGGCGGCGUGCUUAACACAUGCAAGUCGAGCGAAGGUGUUUCAAGGGUAACCUUGAGAUACACUUAGCGGCGGACGGGUGAGUAAUACGUGGAUAACUUACCUCUAGGCCUGGGAUAACUCCGGGAAACUGGGGCUAAGUACCUGAUAAGACCACAUUGUCUACGGACAAAGGGGUAAAAGGUGGCUGUGCAAACAGCUAUCGCCAAAAGAUAGGUUCACG
rnacentral:rRNA from 1 species